rnacentral:tRNA from 1 species
GCCAGCGUGGCUCAGUGGAAAGAGCAUGGGCUUGGAAGUCAGAGGUCAUGGGUUUGAAUCCCAGCUCUGCCA